UCCAUCGUGGUGCAGUGGUAGCAUACUGGACUCUCUGUUCAGAGACCCAGAGUUCGAUUCCUGGCGAUGGAA